rnacentral:misc_RNA from 1 species
AAAAGUUAUUUGACUUGUAGAGUUGCUUUGCCAGUGUUCGCUCUCGCUUCGCUUGCCCUUUCUCUGUUUCUAAGGUCAUAUUAAAGGCUCAGCUAGCUUCAGCCCGUUACAAUUUAUGUCUUCAGUCAUUUUUAAUUCUUCAUUAAAUUUGCAUCAUUUGUAUUCUUCAAGUUUGGAUCGUCACAGACGAAUUGUUAGAAUGUCUGCUGUUGAAACCAAAAAUCCCAAUACAUUGUUCCAAUCAAUGACUAUAAAGCCUCCAUCUCAUCCUACCUAUGAUUUAAAGGGCGUCAUUAAGCUAGCUCUUGCUGAAGAUUCUGGGGAUAGAGGUUUGAUUCAUCUCUUUUUAAUGUCUUUUUCCCCCUCUGUUUCCAGUUCCCUCACCAACAAAUUGUAUAUUCUAGUAUAUCUUUGUUGCUGAGUUGAAUCUUGAUUUGCUUGCCAUGACCUUUAUGGUUUUGAAACGUGUGAAAUUGCAAGCUCCUGAAUGUAGAUAUUGAUAUUCACUGGUCAUUCUAAGUUCCUUGUCCCCUUUCAUUUGGAUAGAUAUAUAAUUUGUGCGUCCCCAUAUAGAGAUAUUGGCAAGCAACAUUUUUGGUUCAAUUGCAGGAGAUGUGACUUGUACAGCAACCAUUCCUUUUAACAUGGAAGUGGAGGCCCAUUUUUUGGCAAAAGAGGAUGGUAUCAUAGCAGGAAUUGCUUUAGCAGAGAUGAUAUUUCAUGAGGUUGAUCCAUCUCUGCAGGUGGAAUGGUCUCGGAAGGACGGUGAUUAUGUUCAUAAAGGACUGCAAUUUGGAAAAGUCUCUGGACGAGCACACAAUAUUGUUGUAGCAGAAAGGGUGGCAUUGAAUUUUAUGCAGAGGAUGAGUGGAAUAGCAACACUAACUAAGGUCAAGUUAACUGAAUGAAGUCAUGGAAGACCUCGCAAAAAUCAAGUCAAUAUGUUUGUUUGAUGUGCAAAAGAGAUUUAUAGAUUAUUCAUGCUUUCUGCAGGCAAUGGCAGAUGCUGCAAGCCCUGCAUUUAUUUUAGAGACUCGAAAAACAGCUCCAGGUCUACGUUUGAUUGAUAAGUGGGCGGUGCUAAUUGGUGGAGGUAGAAAUCAUAGAAUGGGUUUAUUCGAUAUGGUAAUGAUAAAAGAUAAUCAUAUAUCAAUAGCAGGGGGUAUCAUAAAUGCCAUUAAAUCUGUUGAUCAGUAUUUAGAGCAAAAGAACCUUCAAAUGGAGGUUGAGGUAGUUUUUCAAAAUCUCAAGUUCUUAUAAUUUGUGAAUGCAUGAUCAGGUUGAUUUGCCCGGUAAAAGUUGAUCUGCAAACAGUCUGUUUUACAUAUUCUCAGCUUAGUUAUUGCAUAAUUUAAUUUCUGAAAUAUAUAAUUCUCUUCUCCCCAUGCAUGCUUAUGUUUUUGCGUUUUCUCCGCUUUUUGUGAGAUGAAUAUAUGACGAAAUCUAUGCUUAUUAUGAACUGCUUUUGCCUCCAAGGUUGAGACCAGAACACUUGAGGAAGUAAAUGAGGUGUUACAUUACACAUCACACACACAGACUUCCUUGACCCGGAUAAUGUUGGAUAAUAUGGUUAUACCACUGCCAAAUGGAGAUGUUGAUGUAUCUAUGCUUAAAAAUGCUGUGGAAUUGAUCAAUGGAAGAUUUGAGACUGAGGUAGCUCUUAUUAUCAGUUGUACUUUAUUUUCUUCUUUAAUGAUAUGGUCUGUUAUUUGUUAUGAGAUCUAAUACAAAGCAUAAUGUCUGAUUUAGCAUUUAGUAUUCAUGCAUUGAUAAUGUCAUUUGACGGACACUUCUGAGAAUUUAAUGUGUUUGACAUAUAAACUGGCAUCCAUCCAUGCCCAACAUUUGUAUUGAAACUGGAAAGUCAUGAAAGUAUUAACUUGUUUUUUUCAGUUAUAGUGGAAUAUAAUAGAAUCACCUUUGUUACUUCAAAAAGUACAAUACCAUUGUCAGGUUUAUUUUCCUUUUUUAUUUUUUUCAGGAAACUUGCAUGUGAUUUUUUUGUGGCAUGUGAUUUUUUUUUCUGCAUAAUUAUUCAAUUAUUUAAGCAUGUUAUGACAAUCACUCACUAAUUCUUGAGGUAUCUGUUUGUUGCAUUGCGCUUAUUUCGUUCUUCUUUCUGAGGCUAACUAUUUGAUCCAUCUGUUUCAUAUUAAAGGCAUCAGGGAAUGUUACUCUUGAAACAGUGAGCAAAAUUGGACAGACUGGUGUAACAUACAUUUCUAGGUAAGUUGCAAUCUUGUAAUGGUGGUAUCUCUUUUCCCUGCAUCCUGGGUUUUGUUUAGAAUUGAUUGUUAUAUAGAACUUCAAAUUGGGAUUGGAGUACUUUAUCGGACUUGGCAACAGAACAUACCCUUCUAGUAUUGUGAGAAUGCACAGUACUACAUUCCAUAUGAAGGGUGGAAAUUAUUGAGCCACUUAGUACUAAAAAAAUGUUUAAUUUGAUCUGCAGUGGUGCACUGACACAUUCUGUAAGAGCACUUGACAUCUCUCUCAAAAUCGAUACAGAGUUGGCGCUUGAAGUUGGAAGGCGCACAAAACGAGCAUAAUCAUAAUUUUC